GUUGCUACGGAGUCCACCUGAUUCAGUGGUCAAAGACUGUGUCUCUUUUUCCUCUGUGUUUCAGUUCUUCCGGUGCAGGCUGAGCACCUCUCCAUGUCACAGAGCAUAGAAGAGCCAACUCUCCUGCCUCCCGGGACUGACCUGCCCCAUCUGCAUUGUCUUUACAGACCAGGAACAAGGAAAUACGUGGAGCUGGAGAGUGAACAGGAACUUGAAAACGCACAGAUUCUGUUUCAUCUCUGUAAGUCAGUUUUCUCUUCUGUUCACUCCAACCCCAUCUUUGGGAUUUUCAACAUGAAGACAACUGCUUUCGGCACCCUAAAUGUUUUUCUGGAGCACAAGCAGACACGAUGGAGAAACCUGUAGUGGCUGUAACUGAUUCCAAGGCUCCCCAGGGCUUUUGGAUGGAGCAGGGCACAUACAGGGAUGUAUUUGGAGCAUGGUUUAGGGGCCAAAGUCUGAAGAUCUGUGGUUUCUGUACAUUAGGAAAACAAACUCAAGUAAACCAAAGGCUCACCCUGAGCAGAUGAGAGCCACAAUUCAUAAGAACAUCUGUGUUCACCAGGAGAAGAUGAGCUGUGUGGUGUAGGGCAGGGCUCUGGUUCCUUUGAUGGAGGGUUCUGCUCAUUAUGGAGAUUAUGCUGGCGAGCCAGCCCUUCCUAAUAGACCCAUGAUAGGUCCUUGAUUUGAAGAGUGACUCAGUAGUUUCAAGUUUCUUGUUGCUUUUGGUACUUCACAUUUUUUCUUUCUUGGCAACAGUUCUAACAAGGCAUCCAGUUUUAAAACACUUACAUACCACUGGUACGUUCAUGCCAGGCUUUAUGACAAUGCUCACCACAAAAUGAAAAGAAGGAUAUCCAGCUCGCCCAAUUGGCCUUGUCUCUGAGCUUACUAACCAUUGCAAUAUGCAAAAUGAUCACCUUGCUGCAGUCCAGCCUUGACUUGAGAUGAAGUUUAUUUAUUCAUACACACCUAAGUCAUAUGUUAGAGGACAAUGUGCCAUGGCCAUAUUGAAAGACAGUGUUUCCACACAUUUGUGCCUGUGUGCCUCUGCUUAUCGUAAUGUUCUGCAUGCAAUAGGUAUUCUAGGAAUGUCUUUUUAAAAAAUCCAUGAAGUUGUUUAUAAAAAA
rnacentral:lncRNA from 1 species